rnacentral:lncRNA from 1 species
GUGAUGGGCCUCUUAAGUUACUACCGACAAUAUAUUAAGGAUUUUUCAAAGAUUGCUGGACCACUGUAUGAUUUACUCAAGAGCACCCCGGGAGUGGAAAACACUUGCCAAAAUUUCAGACGAAGUAAAGUGAAGACUAGAGGAGUGCCUUCAAACCAACCAAUAAUUUGGAAGGAUGAGUACCAAGAGAUCUUGGAAAAAUUGAUAAACCAUCUGGUCGAACCACCUAUCCUUGGAUUUCCAGACUUUUCACUGCCUUUUAUUCUUCAUACAGAUGCCUCAAACCAAGGCCUGGGGGCAGUAUUGUACCAAAAGCAGGGGGGUAAGCUCCGUGUAAUAGCGUAUGGAUCUCGGACCCUCACAGCUGCCGAACGAAAUUACCACCUCCAUUCGGGUAAAUUAGUGUUUCUCGCCCUCAAGUGGUCAAUAAUGGAGAAACUUAGAGACUACUUAUACUACGCACCUACAUUCACAGUCUUUAGCGAUAAUAACCCUCUCACGUAUGUACUAUCCAGCGCGAAACUCAAUGCCACCGGCUGUAGGUGGGUAGCGGAGUUAGCAGACUUCCAUUUUUCAAUAAAGUACCGCCCUGGCCGAGAGAAUGCAGAUGCCGACAGUUUAUCAAGAUUGCCUCUAGACAUUGAAGGGAUGAUAGAACAAUGUACGGAGGAAAUGUCAUCAGACUGCAUUGCAGCCACCGCACAAGCUGUAGAAGUGCAGGAAGAUACCUCACCUUGGGUAGUAUCUGACUCGUCUCCAUGUUCACCUGACAUGGGUGACAAUGAACCUCUUCCUGUGGCUAAAAUACAGCAGAGUCAAAGGGAGGAUCCACACAUCGGGCCUGUAAUAAAAUAUAAAUUAACUGGUGUGCGACCUUGCCCCAAACAAAUGAAGUCUCUUACUCCUCAGAGCCGAUGUCUUCUUCGUGAAUGGGAGAAGCUUCAUUUGGAUGAGAGCGGCAUCCUAAAGCGGAAGACAGCAAAUAGACACCAACUGGUCCUACCUGAAAGAUACAAGGCAGUGGUAAUGAAGAAGUUGCACAAUGAGAUGGGUCACCAAGGAGUUGAUCGCACGACAUCACUGAUCAGAGACCGUUUCUUUUUGCCCCAUAUGCAACAAGAGAUUGAACAUUAUGAUGCAAAAAGCUGUCAUUGUUUGAAGCAAAAGAAGCCUUGUAGGGAGACAAGGGCUCCUCUCAUUAAUAUCAGUACAACUCAGCCUUUUGAGCUUGUAUCUGUUGACUUUCUUCAUUUAGAUAAAUGCAAGGGGGGAUACGAAUACAUAUUAGUGAUAGUUGACCAUUUUACACGGUUUGCGCAGGCGUAUCCCACAACAUCAAAGUCUGCUAAAACGGUAGCUGAUCGCCUGUUUAAUGACUAUGCCCUGCGAUUUGUAUUUCCGUGACGAAUACACCACGAUCAAGCUGGUGAAUUUGAAAACCAGCUUCUAGCCCAACUGACAAAGAAUUGUGGUGUCCUCAGUUCCAGAACAACGCCGUACCACCCGCAAGGGAACGGUCAGACGGAACGAUUCAACAGGACCUUACUUCAAAUGCUCAAAACACUGACAGACAAGCAGAAGACGAACUGGAAGGAAUCCUUGAAUAAA